CAGUUUUCCAUCUGGAGAACAGCCCAGAAAUGAUCCAGUCUCCUCGCCAGAUUGAAGAGGCAGCUUUUGGAGAUUAUGCAGGCUAUGUUAGCUGAACACCUGAGAAGUGACGGAGACCUGAGUAAACAGGAAGGGCUAGGUGGCACCGCGGUUGGAAGCCCAGUUUGCAGGAAGGAGCCUUCAGUUUCAUGAACACACCUCAUCAAGUGGAAUGGACUGAGGCUGCGAUGCACCAGAGUCUAACAGGCAGCUCAACACUCCACCCAAGGAGCAGCUCUUUGCCAGAUGUGCUUUGAGAAUGAGGCACAUAGGUCUUCCUGCAGACACUUUGUGUAGGCAUAUUGUGGACACGGUCCAGAUGUGUGGAAGGCUGGGUCUGCUUCACACAGGGACCUCUUUGUGUGUUCUCACUGGAGGGAGUGGAAACACUCAGGAAAGACCCCCUCAGCGAGAAAGAAGGGGGCCUGGACAUUUCA